AAACCAACAGGGAUUGCCUCAGUAACGGCGAGUGAAGCGGCAAAAGCUCAAAUUUGAAACCCUCGGGAUUGUAAUUUGAAGAUUUGGAAUUGAGAAAAGCUAACCCAAGUUACUUGGAAUAGUACGUCAUAGAGGGUGACAACCCCGUCUGGCUAACCGUUUCUCAUGUAUUUCCUUAUCAAAGAGUCGAGUUGUUUGGGAAUGCAGCUCAAAGUGGGUGGUAAACUCCAUCUAAAGCUAAAUACUGGUGAGAGACCGAUAGCGAACAAGUACUGUGAAGGAAAGGUGAAAAGAACUUUGAAAAGAGAGUGAAAUAGUAUGUGAAAUUGUUGAUAGGGAAGGGAAUGAGCGGAGAGUGGUGAUAGUUUCAGCGGCCGUUCGCGGCCGUGUAUUGCUUUAGCCGAGUCAUGGUGAGUGGAGAGAGGGAUAUAAACGGGUUGCUUUUAAGCUUCUCACCUACCCCUCUUCCUCCUUACCACGACAUAAUCCGCCCAUUCCAC
rnacentral:rRNA from 2 species